CACGUACUCCCUCCGUUCCAAAAUAAGUGUCUCAACUUUGUACUAACUUGGUACAAAGUUAUACUAAGCUUGAGACAAUUAUUUUGGGACGGAGGGAGUACAUU
rnacentral:pre_miRNA from 2 species